GGGUCGUGAGCUCAGUUGGUAGAGCAGUGGACUUUUAAUCAAUUGGUCGCAGGUUCGAAUCCUGCACGACCCACCA
rnacentral:tRNA from 1 species